rnacentral:tRNA from 1 species
GCCUGGAUGGCUCAGUCAGUAGAGCAUGUGACUUUUGAUCUUGGAGUCAUGAGUUGAACCCCAUUUUGGGCA